GUUUUGGUUACAUGGAUGAGUUCUUUAGUGGUAUAUUCUGAGAUUUUAGUGCACUUGUCACCUGAGCAGUGUACAUUGUACCCAAAAUGUAGUCUUUUAUCACUCACCCUCUUCCCAACUUCCCCUUCAUCAGUCCCCAAAGUCCAUUGUAUCGCUCUGUAUGUCUUUGAGUCUUUAUAGCUUAACUCCUACUUAUAAGUGAGAACAUAACAGUAUUUCGUUUUUCAUUUCUGAGUUACCUUCUUAGAAUAAUGGCCUCCAGGCUGGGCGUGCUGGCUCAUGCCUGUAAUCUCAGCACUUUGGGAGGCCAAGGCAGGCGGAUCACGAGGUCAGGAGUUCGAGACUAGCCUUGCCAACAUGGCGAAACCCCAUCUCUUCUAAAAAUACAAAAAUUAGCUGCGCAUGGUGGUGGGUGCCUGUAAUCCCAGCUACUUGGGAGGCUGAGGCAGGAGAAUCAUAUGAGCCCGGGAAGUGGAUGUUGCAGUGAGCUGAGUUUGUGCCAUUGCCCUCCAGCCUGGAUGACAAGAGCAAGACUCUGUCUCAAAAAAAAAAAAAAAGAAAGAAAGAAAGAAAAAGAAAAGAAAAAGAAUAAUUGCCUCCAGCUCCAUCUGAGUUGCUGCAAAGUACAUUAUUUUGUUUCUUUUUAUGGCUGAGUAGUAUUCCAUGGUGUAUAUAUAUCACAUUUUCUUUAUCCACUUGUUGGUAGAUGGGCACACUUAGGUUGGUUCCAUAUCUUUGCAAUUUCUUGCACUUUGUUUUGAUGAGGUGGUUACUAAGUAUAGCUGGUUCAAUUUGCAUAAUCUCAGUGUGACUAAGUCACAUGACUUCUAUGUAUUGAGGGCCUCCUCUAAGCCAGGCACCACUUACCAGAAUCUCAUCUGCAUGAUUUCUCAUAAUCACAACACCUUGAAGUGCAGAUUCUAUUAUGCCCUCAUCCUAACAGAGACCAGGAGAGGUUAAAGAACUUGUCCAGUGCCAGGUCUUCCCUCCUGCCCAGUCCCCUGACCUCCACCCGCCAUGCUGCUUCUAGGCCUGCAUUCCCAACACCCCCUCUUCCUGGUUGCAGAAUCUUGGGUGAUGCACCAUGUGGAUCCCAGAUCUCACUGAAUCCCUUUCCUGUACACUCCUGCAGCACCUCAAGUAACAGUCCAAGCCUCUCAGCCCGACUCACCUCAUUUUCUGCUCCUCCCACCUUAAGCUUGGGAUCCAGCAACACUUAACUGCUUCUGGGUGACAGGAUCCCCAGGCCCCGCCACACCUCUGUGCCUUUGUGCCUGCUGCUCCCUUUGCCUGGAACACCCUCUCCUUGUUUUUCUACUUGGCAGGCACCUUAUAUCCUUUGAGUCUUAGCUCUUCUGUGAAGGCUUCCUGAUGCCGCCAUGUAGACUUGAGAACUCAUUCCUUUGGGCCCUCAUAGUGCCUGUGGGCCUCUGUUACAGCUUUUUCUGACAGGGAACAUUUCACCCAGAGACACAAACACACACACAGGGAGAUGCCAUGUAGAACAUAAAGAGGCAGAGAUCACGGAGAUGCAUCUACAAGCCAACGAACACCAAAGAUUGCAUCAAACCACCAGCAGCUAGGAGAGAGGCGUAGAACAGGUCCUCCCUCACUGCCCUCAGGAGGAACCAACCCUGCCAGCUACUUGGUCUCGGACUUCCAGCUGCCAGAACUGUGAGAUCAGAGAUCUCUGUUGGUUAAGCCACCCAGAUUGCCAUACUUUGUUAUGGCAGCCCUAGCAGGCUACUAGAGGCUUCAACCUGAAGUUAGCAAGACCGAGCAGAUGAGAGUGGAGAAUGGGUGUUGCUUGGGAAGUGCCCAGGGCUGGCUUGUUUGCAUGGAGACUUGAGGAACCAUUCACAAUUCCUGGGGAUUCACACAUAAAGAAAGAACAUCAGCAGGAACCCUGAGCCACCAUGUAACAAGUCCUGCCACCCUGCUGGAGAUGCCAUGUGGAGAAGCCUGGAGAGGAAGAAGCCCCAAGACUAUGGAGAGAGGGGCCUGCUGUCCUAGUACCGGGGCUGAGCCCAGCCUCCCAGCCACCUUCACCAAAGAACAGGAGAAGACAUGCACAUGGAGCCUUCUGGGAUGUUUCUGCCCCAGCAUUUGAUGGCACAUGCAAGAGAUCAUGAGUAAGGACAGAAGAAAAACUGACCACUGAGCCCCAGACGACCCAUAGUACCUUUGGUUAAGAGUAGACAAGGCAGACAUCUGAGCCUGCAUGACUCAGCAAGUUUAGGGUGCAGGCACAUACUCCACUUGUUGUAUAACCUGUUUGUGUAAGCUGAUACUUGCCUUGGAGCCACUAUUGUCUGUAAAAGGUAUAACUGCCCUGCUGACACUGUGCAUGGGGGACAUGGCUUGGCUUGGCUCUUGGGCAUGGCUUGACAUGGCUCUUGCGCUCAUGCCCAGAGAGAGAAGGAGAUAAACUGCUGACCCUGAAGGGAGAGCUGGCCACACAGCUGUGCGUGGGGGCAGCCGCAGCAAGCAGCCGAGACAGAACAGACAGUGUAGAAGAGCUGCUGAUGAGCGAGCUGCUGAAUAAAGCCAUAUUUCCCCUACUGACAGCCCCCCGAGUGUUGUUUCAGCUAUCUGCCAUUCAUCCACCCACUUCCUUCAGACCUCAGCAUGGGCUGGAACUUGGACUUGAACCUGACACAGAAGAAGCAAGAAAAUAGUUGUUUGGCUGGGUGCGGUUGCUCACACCUGUAAUCCCAGCACUUUGAGAAGACAAGGUGGGCAGAUCACUUGAGCACAGGAGUUCAAGACCAGCCUGGGCGACACAGAGAAACCGUCUCUACUAAAAAUACAAAAAUUAGCUAAGCAUAAUGGUGCGCACCUGUAAUCCCAGCUAUUUGUGAGGCUGAGGCAUGAGGAUUGCUUGAACCCGGCAGGGGGAGGUUGCAGUGAGCCAAGAUGGCACCAAUGUACUCUAGCCUGAGUGACAGAGGGAGACUCUGUCUUAAAAAAAAAAAAAUAGUUGUUUAUAAGCCCUUUCUAUUUUGAUAUAAUUAUAAACUUACAGAAAAGAUAUAAAAAUAACACCCCAAAAAAUCCCACAUCUUUCAUCCAAAUUGCCCAAAUGUUAAACAAUUGCAGGAGGACAGGGCAAAUGUUAAAAGUUAAAAGUAAGUUGCAUACCCCUAUAUAAGGCAAUGUGUAUCUCCUAAAAGCAAGAAAAUUCUCUUACAUAAACACAGUAUAAUUAUAAAAGCCAGAAAAUUACAUUUUUAUAAUGCUAUUAUCUAAUCUACAGACCUUGUUCAAAUUUUGCCAAUUGUCCCCAAAAUGACCUUUUUUAGCAAAAGAAAAUCCUGGAUUAUGCAUUGCAUUCUCUUGUCAUGUCUGUAUAACCUCAUUUAACCUGGGCCAGUUCCCAGGCUUUCUUUGCUUUGCAUGAUAUUAACACUUUUGAAGAGUACUGGUCACUUAGUUUAUAGAAUGUCCCUCAACUUGAAUUUAUCUGGUAUUUUCUCACAAUUAGAUUCAGGUUACACAUUUUUUGGCAGAAAUACAACAAAAGAGAUUUUGUAUUUUCUCAGUGCAUCAUAUCAGGAGGUAAGCAAUGUCGAUUCAUCCCAUUACAGGUGAUAUUGAACUUAAAUAUUAGGUUAUGAUGGCAUCUGACAGUUUUAUAAAUUUACUCAGUAUAAAGUUAUGGGUUUUUUGUUUGUAAUUAAUAAGUAUUUUACAGAGUGAUGCUUUGAGACUGUGUAAUGAUCCUGUUGUUCAUGACUCUUUGAGCCACUAGCUUUAGUAUCCAUUGAUGAUUCAAUUGAUUAAACAAUUUCUACCAUGAUAAUUGCAAAUGGUGAUUUUCUAAUUUCAUCACUUCUUCUAUACUUAUUAAUGAGCAUUCUACUGCAAGAAAGAGAUUUCCCUUUUCCCCUACUUACUUAGUUAUAACAGUUUUAACUAAGUGAUUUCCAUUUGAGUCAGUGGGUUAUAAUCUGUUAAUAUCAUGAUGUAUUCUGAUGCUUAAAUUCCCAGAUUUGGCCUUUGAGAGCCUCUUCCAACUGGUCCCAAGUCCUUUUCAUAUGUUCCCAUGAUUCUCUGAGCACUUACAUACUUUUCCGGCAGAAGAUGUUCCAGGCUCAUUUUGUAUUGUCCUUGCCCCAGCCUUUGAAUCAUUUUCCUAAGGAGUUUUGGUUCUUUUUAGUGAGGAAAGUAUUUAGAAACCAAGAUCUUGGUGAUAGGCAUGCUCAUUGCUACUGAGCAUCAUUGCUUUUUAGCCCUCUUAGUGACCAGACCCAGUAAAUAUAUAUAUGUGUCCACGUGCACACACACAUAUAUACCCACACUUUAUCUAUUUUUAUAUCUAUCUCUCUAUAUUAAAAAUGAUUAGUUCAAACCAUGAGUUCAUAACCUUAUGGAAUAACUCCAUAAGGUUUCAUUCUAGCUCCCUCCCUUUUCAUAUUUGUUAACUUCCUUUUCUAACGGUGAAAAACCUGGCUCCUAUUAUCUAUGACAUAUUGUCUUAUUUUCUUAAUCCUAAAAUAUACAGAGAAUGCUUUCAAAAUUGUUAACUCAUACCUCUGCAGGAGAAAAAGCAAACCAAAACUACUGACUUGCAUUCAAUGUUUACAGUUUUUGCCUGGCAAAGUCCAAAUACUUUCUUCAAAAGUUGCUCAACCUGGACAUGGCGGCUCAUGCCUGUAAUCCCAGCACAAUGGGAGGCCGAAGCAGGAGGAUCACUUGAGUCCAGCAGUUUGAGAGCAGCCUAGGAAACAUAGCAAGGUCCAGUCUACAGAAAAUCUAAAAAUUAGCUGAGUGUCAUGGUGCACGCCUACGAUCCCAGGUACUCCAGAGGCUGAGAGGCGGGAGGAUCACUUGAGUCUGGGAGGUUGAGGCUGCAAUGAGCUGUGAUCACGACAUUGCACUACAGCCUGGGCGAUGGGAGUGAAACCCUGUCU
rnacentral:lncRNA from 1 species